rnacentral:rRNA from 1 species
AGUUUGAUCCUGGCUCAGGAUGAACGCUGGCGGCGUGCCUAAUACAUGCAAGUCGAGCGAACCACUUCGGUGGUGAGCGGCGAACGGGUGAGUAACACGUAGGUGAUCUGCCCAUCAGACGGGGACAACGAUUGGAAACGAUCGCUAAUACCGGAUAGGACGAAAGUUUAAAGGUGCUUCUGGCACCGCUGAUGGAUGAGCCUGCGGCGCAUUAGCUAGUUGGUAGGGUAAAGGCCUACCAAGGCGACGAUGCGUAGCCGACCUGAGAGGGUGAACGGCCACACUGGGACUGAGACACGGCCCAGACUCCUACGGGAGGCAGCAGUAGGGAAUCUUCGGCAAUGGGCGAAAGCCUGACCGAGCAACGCCGCGUGAAUGAUGAAGGCCUUCGGGUUGUAAAAUUCUGUUAUAAGGGAAGAACGACUUUAGUAGGAAAUGGCUAGAGUGUGACGGUACCUUAUGAGAAAGCCACGGCUAACUACGUGCCAGCAGCCGCGGUAAUACGUAGGUGGCGAGCGUUAUCCGGAAUUAUUGGGCGUAAAGAGCGCGCAGGUGGUUGAUUAAGUCUGAUGUGAAAGCCCACGGCUUAACCGUGGAGGGUCAUUGGAAACUGGUCGACUUGAGUGCAGAAGAGGGAAGUGGAAUUCCAUGUGUAGCGGUGAAAUGCGUAGAGAUAUGGAGGAACACCAGUGGCGAAGGCGGCUUCCUGGUCUGUAACUGACACUGAGGCGCGAAAGCGUGGGGAGCAAACAGGAUUAGAUACCCUGGUAGUCCACGCCGUAAACGAUGAGUGCUAAGUGUUGGGGGUCGAACCUCAGUGCUGAAGUUAACGCAUUAAGCACUCCGCCUGGGGAGUACGGUCGCAAGACUGAAACUCAAAGGAAUUGACGGAAGGGCGA